rnacentral:tmRNA from 1 species
UUUUUUGAUUCGCCUUGUGAAGGGGAGAAUCCUACAAUGCGGCCCAUGGUCGUAAUUCCGGCAAAUCGGAAGCGUUCUGGACGCGGGUUCGAUUCCCGCCACCUCCACCUAAGCGCAUUAAAAGCAUCACGAACGUGUUUUUAGGUGGGGGUGCACUGGCUUCGACAGGGCGACGGAGGGUGAGCAGGCGACACGAAAGGCGACGGACGUAAUCCGAGCAAUUUCUCAAACGCCAACGAUGAGCGUUUUGCACUGGCUGCUUAAACAGCCGUGCCGGGGCUGCUAACGCCUUGUAACCCAAGCUAGCCGACGGGGUCUCUCACGAGACCCCGUUGUCA